UACGGGAGGCAGCAGUGGGGAAUAUUGCACAAUGGGCGAAAGCCUGAUGCAGCUAUGCCGCGUGUAUGAAGAAGGCCUUAGGGUUGUAAAGUACUUUCAUCGGGGAGGAAAAAACAAAACUAAUAAUUUUAUUUCUUGACGUUACCCGAAAAAGAAGCACCGGCUAACUCCGUGCCAGCAGCCGCGGUAAUACGGAGGGUGCUAGCGUUAAUCAGAAUUACUGGGCGUAAAAGAGCACGUAGGUGGUUUUUUUAAGUCAGAUGUGAAAAUCCCUGGGCUUAACCUAGGAAACUGCAUUUUGAAACUGAAAUACUAGAGUAUCGUAGAGGGAGGUAGAAUUCUAGGUGUAGCGGUGAAAUGCGUAGAUAUCUGGAGGAAUACCUGUGGCGAAAAGCGGCCUCCUAAACGAAUACUGACACUGAGGGUGCGAAAAGCGUGGGGAGGCAAACAGGGAUUAGGAUACC
rnacentral:rRNA from 1 species